GCGAAAAUAGCUCAGUUGGUUAGAGCGUCUGACUGUGGCUCAGAAGGCCACGGGUUCGAAUCCCGUUUUUCGCCCCA
rnacentral:tRNA from 1 species